GAGUCUGCUCACCCUGCGACCAGGCGGUUGGGCCCCGAGACCCUCUCAUGCAGACUCACGUGAAAACAGGCACUCCAGGGUCCAUGCAGCAUCUCAUGGCAAACAUGCAAAUGAUCUGAAUGUCCAUCCGGAGACCGGUGCUGUCUACACACAGUCACGUCAGUGCAGCCGUGAAUGUGAAUGAACUGGGCACGCGCUUGCCAGCACAGCUGAGCCGCUCCAACUCAGCACGGAUCCUCACAAUCUGUGUGAUGGAAUCGCAUGCCAACUUUAAAGACGAUCUCGUGGAUCUCUGUGUGUGGACCUGGGAUGGUACCUGCCAUCUGCUUUCGAAUUAAAAAGAUUGUAUCGAGCGUCCGGAUGACCAGUGGGUCUGGGGCCAGCGCGGAGGUAUGACCAGUGGGCACACCGAGUCCACCUCAUGGAUGGGCAGUGCCCGGGGGAGCUUGGUCGGGCCCCCAGCGGCAGGUGGUGCUCCUGGUCGGUCCACCCCAGCUGAGGGCAGCAGAGGCUGAGUCUCUGGGCUCCCUGAGGGUUCCACUCACCCUGGGCCGUUGCUGUGGAAGCAGUGAUGACUCACUCCAUGCCCGGUCUGCACAGCACCCUCCAGGGCUCUCUUGGACAGAUCUCUCGCUUCAUCCUCCCCAUCCCGCGGCGGUCAAGCCACAGCAUGCUGACCUGGGCACGCCGCCUACAUUUCCCAGGCUCCCUUGCAACAAGUCAUGGUGGCCACGAAUGAGUUCUGACCAAGACAGUGUGAAGAAGUGCGGCCUCCCCUCCUCCUUUGCCACCUGGGACCCGAGGAAGAAGCCACUUGCUGAGGGCAGCUGAGCAGAGGAGUUAAGGGAGCACCGAUAACCCCAGGCUGCCUAUCUGGCCUUUUGGGAAAAAAUUCAUUUUGAGAUCGAGCCACUGUGCGCUCCGGUCUCCUUGUUACACAGCUGUGUACUGACUCAUAUAGUGUUGCUGAGGCUUCGUGCUGGGCCGCUCACAUCUUUCAACACCACGCAGUCCACCUUUGGUUUUGUUACCUUGGCUGAUGGAUCCUGAAGUAACUUGCCAACAAAGUGAGCGUGCCACAGGCUGCCAUGCCCCAUGACUUGGCCGGCCCAGGGCUCUCUGUACCCAGCCCAGGACCUGGCCCGAGGCAGGUGACCGGCAUGGCCUGGGAGCCCCAGAGCGUGGGCCUGAGGAAAGACACCAGCAUUGAUUGAGUGCCGAAAGGUGCAGGGUGCCAGGCCAUGCACCUCUCCGUGUGGUCUUGAUUCAUUUUAUUACUUAUCAUUUAGGAUCUCGUACAGAGUCAUUUAUUUAUUUACAUACAAGGGGUGGGACACGGGGC
rnacentral:lncRNA from 12 species